UGGGAAUGCAGCCUUCCAAGGUGACCCUGCAGGGUGGUAAUCAGAGGAAUAAAUAGACAUACCUGAUUAUCUUAAAUCCUUGGUUUUCCUAUUGAUGCUUUCUAUUAACUGGACCCAGUCAGAAACAAAAGACAAGAGAGUCAUUGAUGUGAUCUGCACAGAUUGGCCAAAGGAGAAGAGAAAGGCAACUGAUUGAGAGGACUAAAAAACUUAUGAAGAAGCGGGUAUACUUCAGCCAGCAUGUCAAUUUCAUCCAUUUUUGUUUACGUUUUUAAAGCCAUCACAUACAUUUUGUUCUGGAGUCCAGAAGUUUAAAACCAAAAUCUCAACAGAGCCUCAUUCCCUCCAAUGGCUCUGGAGGAGAAUCCUUCUUGCCUCUUCCAGCUUCUAGUGGCUCUGAUGUUAGCUCGUGGUGACUGCAGAUGUUCCUUGGAUUGCGGCUACAGAACUCCAAUUUUGUCCUCUUUCUUCGUAUGUCCUUCUUGUCUAUGUCUUCUUCCCUUCUGCCUGGGUUGAAUCAGUGCAGGGUAAUUUCCUCAUCUGAAGAUCUGUAAGUUCGUUAGCUCUAUGAAGACCUUUUUUUCCAAAUUAAAUAAGGUUCACACUUAAUGCCAUAUAAGGUGAUAUUCACAGGUUCCAGGGCUUAGAAUAUGGGCAUAUUUUGGGGGUCCACCAUUCAACCCACUACAAUAGGCUAAGCUACCCUACAGGAAUAUUGUAAAAAUCCCAUUAAGUGAGGUAUACAAUGUACCUGGAAACACAUGUUAAUAUUUCUUCCAUCAAUGUUAUCA
rnacentral:lncRNA from 1 species